AGGACGAACGCUGGCGGCGUGCUUAACACAUGCAAGUCGAGCGGAAAGGCCCUUCGGGGUACUCGAGCGGCGAACGGGUGAGUAACACGUGAGUAAUCUGCCCCUAGCUCUGGGAUAGCUCCGGGAAACCGGGAUUAAUACCGGAUAUGACCACUUUAGACAUCUGCUGUGGUGGAAAGAAUUUCGGCUAGGGAUGAGCUCGCGGCCUAUCAGCUUGUUGGUGGGGUAACGGCCUACCAAGGCGACGACGGGUAGCCGGCCUGAGAGGGCGACCGGCCACACUGGGACUGAGACACGGCCCAGACUCCUACGGGAGGCAGCAGUGGGGAAUAUUGCGCAAUGGGCGAAAGCCUGACGCAGCGACGCCGCGUGGGGGAUGGAAGGCCUUCGGGUUGUAAACCCCUUUCAGCAGGGACGAAGCGAAAGUGACGGUACCUGCAGAAGAAGCGCCGGCUAACUACGUGCCAGCAGCCGC
rnacentral:rRNA from 1 species